ensembl:lncRNA
AGGCAAGGAAAGGCCACAUUUGCGAUGAGAAAACACGUGAUUUUUGCUUAAAUGCGGUAUUUGCAAAGAGAAAACGCGUGAUUGUCGAAUACAUGGGGGAUUUGCAAAUAGAAAAAGCGUGAUUUUGGGUUAAAUGGGGGAUUUGCGAAGAGAAAACGCGUGAUUUUCAGGUUAAAUGGCUGAUUCUCGAAGAGAAAACACGUGAUUUUCGCUUAAGUGGGGAUUUACAAGGAGAAAACGCGUGAUUUUUGCUUAAAUGUGGGAUAUCUGAAGAGAAAACACGUGGUUUUCGGGUUAAAUCGGGGACUCUCGAAGAGAAAACACGUGAUUUUCGGGGUAAAUGGGGGAUUUGCGAAGAGAAAACGCGUGAUUUUCGGGUUAAAUGGGGGAUUUGCAAAGAGAAAACGCGUGAUUUUCGCAUACAUGGGGGAUUUGCAAGUAGAAAAAGCGUGAUUUUUGGGUUAAAUGGGGUAUUUGCAAAGAGAAAACGCGUGAUUUUCGCAUACAUGGGGGAUUUGCAAAUAGAAAAAGCGUGAUUUUUGGGUUAAAUGGGGGAUUUGCGAAGAGAAAAUGCGUGAUUUUCGCAUACUUGGGGGAUUUGCAAAGAGAAAACGCGUGAUUUUCAGGUUAAAUGGCUGAUUCUCGAAGAGAAAACGCAUGAUUUUGGCGUUAAAUGGGGGAUUUGCAAAGACAAAACGCGUGAUUUUCGCUUAAAUGGGGGAUUUGCGAAGAGAAAACGCGUGAUUUUCGGGUUAAAUGGGGGAUUCUCGAUGAGAAGACGCGUGAUUUUUGGUUAAAUGGGGGAUUUGUGAAGAGAAAACGCGUGAUUUUCGGGUUAAAUGGGGGAUUUGUGAAGAGAGAACGCGUGAUUUUCAGGUUAAAUGGGGGAUUCUCGAAGAGAAAACGCGUGAUUUUCGCUUAAAUGGGGGAUUUGCGAAGAGAAAAUGCGUGAUUUUCGGGUUAAAUGGGGGAUUCUUGGAAGAGAAAACGCGUGAUUUUCGGGUUAAAUGGGGGAUUCUCGAAGAGAAAACGGGUGAUUUUCGGGUUAAAUGGGGGAUUCUCGAAGAGAAAACGCGUGAUUUUCGGUUAAAUGGGGGAUUCCCAAAGAGAAAAUGCGUGAUUUUCGCUUAAAUGGGGGAUUUACAAGGAGAAAACGCGUGAUUUUCGGUUAAAUGGGGGAUUUGCAAAGAGAAAACGUGUGAUUUUUGCUUAAAU